rnacentral:lncRNA from 1 species
AAACCUCCCCCCCCCCGGCAAAAUGGCUGGGGCUUUCAGCAGUGCUGCAGACCGCUCACUGGCUUCCACUAGCUUUUUGUAACCAUGGCAACAACCAACAGACUGAGCCACCAAGCAUGGUUGAUCAUGUGCAGCCCUCCUCCCCACACGGGUGGUUAAUUGCUGUCUGUCCUCUGGUUAUGAUGAGAAGGGUGCUGAAAAAUUGUGAAGGAAUGAAUGACAGAAGCCUGGAUGCGCCAGUACAGUGAGAGGAAAUACCCUGUUGCUGAUGCAUUUGGAUCCCACCAAAGGGAAUACCUCCAUGUGGUUUCAAAACAGUGAUUAACUGAGAAGCAUGAAGUCUGAAGCCCACCUGGAACAUCCAAAGAAUGCGCUCAUCAGCUGUAGUCAGAUGAACCACUAAGAGCUGCAAUUAAGAAUUAAGAAAGUACAAGAAAGGGGUGAUCAUAUACCCCCCCACAUGGGUAGACGUUCAAGUUGAUUCACAUAUCCAGAUGACACUCUUUUUUUGGCCAUAGAUUGUUUUGCAGGGGCAGAGAGAUGCAUUUUCUCCAGAAGGAUGCUUACAUGAGCUCCAAACAGCUCUGAAAUACACAAAGUUUUGUCUCACAUUAACUGAAACAAGAGCUUGGAAGUAAUAGGUUAACUUUAACAUAUUACCGUAACUAGUUCCUUUUAGGAGUUUCUAAAACAGAAUUUCUUUUUCACUUGAGACAAAAAGGUCACUGGCCAUUUUGGCUCAGAGGUUUCUAGGAGCUGCAGUCCAAGAGAUAAUUUCCCCCAGCUCUGGACCUCAGUCAAAGUUUUUGUCACACAACUGUGUAGUAGUCAGUAGUGGUAAAUGCAGAAAAUGAUAUCCUUGCCACUAAGUAGUUUGGAAAACUCUCUCCAGGGCAACUAGUUAUCCUCUUCUUGUCAGCAUGUUACAUUACCUGCAAACUUAAACGAUGGCAUGUUCCCUUUUAUAUAAUGUAUGUGCAUAGUGAAAAAAAAUCUGUAAUGGAGACAAAUAUCUUUUAAAAGUGUGGAUUAACAGCACGUACACGAUCUGGUAUUUUUAAAUACUAUUCUGCCAAACGUACAAUUUAAACAACAAUACUGUUUGACAGCAUUUCAUCAGUACUGCCGAAUUCUAUUCUGCAAUACAUGGAGUAAUAUAUUGCGGAAUAUAUUCAUUUGUAGAUGAGUUAAGUAUUUGGCUGCAGAGCCAGAGGCUGGGAAUUCAACCCUGCACUGUGCAUCCCAGAA